GACGAACGCUGGCGGCGUGCCUAAUACAUGCAAGUUGAGCGAUGAAGAUUGGUGCUUGCCCCAAUUUGAAGAGCAGCGAACGGGUGAGUAACGCGUGGGGAAUCUGCCUUUGAGCGGGGGACAACAUUUGGAAACGAAUGCUAAUACCGCAUAACAACUUUAAACAUAAGUUUUAAGUUUGAAAGAUGCAAUUGCAUCACUCAAAGAUGAUCCCGCGUUGUAUUAGCUAGUUGGUGAGGUAAAGGCUCACCAAGGCGAUGAUACAUAGCCGACCUGAGAGGGUGAUCGGCCACAUUGGGACUGAGACACGGCCCAAACUCCUACGGGAGGCAGUAGUAGGGAAUCUUCGGCAAUGGACGAAAGUCUGACCGAGCAACGCCGCGUGAGUGAAGAAGGGUUUCGGAUCGUAAAACUCUGUUGGUAGAGAAGAACGUUGGUGAGAGUGGAAAGCUCAUCAAGUGACGGUAACUACCCAGAAAGGGACGGCUAACUACGUG
rnacentral:rRNA from 1 species